CCCACUUGCAGCCUUCCAGUUAUCUUUUCUUCGUUGCUAAACUGGUUUGCUCAGGACGGGUAUUUUAUACCCACACACCAAAGAAACUUUUUGAGGUUUGGGGAGAUGCAUCAUUGCGGAUCCUCUCGUAUUGCAAAAAAAGAGAAGAGAGCCUUGGAUCUAUCAGUUCAAGCAAACAUUUCAUCUGACAGCCUUGGAGAUCCCACUUUGGAGAUGGGGCUUUAACAACUCUGCCAGCUAUCCUUUCUCCACUGCCAUACAGAUUGUGCAGCAAGAUGGUUCGGCCCUCAUACCAGGAGGCAAAACAAGAAUUUGUUGAUUUUGCGAAUUCUAGGUGCAUUAUUUAUGACAAUAAAUG